AUUGAACGCUAGCGGGAUGCCUUACACAUGCAAGUCGAACGGAGUGGCGAACGGGUGAGUAAUGUAUCGGAACGUGCCCAGUAGCGGGGGAUAACUACGCGAAAGCGUAGCUAAUACCGCAUACUAUUUGAGCGGCCAAUCUGGGAUUAGCUAGUUGGUGGGGUAACUGCUCACCAAGGCGACGAACCGUAGCUGGUUUGAGAGGACGACCAGCCACACUGGGACUGAGACACGGCCCAGACUCCUACGGGAGGCAGCAGUGGGGAAUUUUGGACAAUGGGGGAAACCCUGAUCCAGCCAUCCCGCGUGUGCGAUGAAGGCCUUCGGGUUGUAAAGCACUUUUGGUAGGAAAGCGGUACCUGCAGAAUAAGCACCGGCUAACUACGUGCCAGCAGCCGCGGUAAUUC
rnacentral:rRNA from 1 species